AUCAAUCUAAUGACAUUCCAUAGGAAUAAAAAUCCAAUGGGAUCCAGUUCUUAGCAGUCCCAGCCUAGUCAGAAGUACAAAGUCAAAUACCAUUUGCACAUCACCAAGAGGUACAAUCUGAUGAGUAACAGGAUAUCUGAUCUAAAAGCUUGCCAGGUUUCACAAGCUGUUUGAGUAUCACCAGGGCAGAUCAAGAAGAAAUAUGAAGGCCAGGUUCAUAACAAGCAGUUACUUCAUUGCAAUUACAGAUUUUAAAAAUUGAAUG